rnacentral:rRNA from 1 species
CAAUAGCGUAUAUUAUUGAUGUUGCAGUUGAAACGUUCGUAGUCGAAUCUUAUCUGCCAAAGCAUUGUGUCAUUUAUGAUGACAUAAUGCUUGUACAAACGUUUGCAUGUGUUUCACAUGUCUGACCUUGUAUCUUACUUUGAGUGAAUCGGCGUGUUCCACGCAGGCAUGUGCCUUGAACGAUUUACCAUAGCAUAAUCAGAGUAUGGAACUGCUUCCUUGUUUGUUCGGAAGCUCUUUCGAUACUGAUAGGAACGGUUGAGGGCAUUCGUAUUCGACUGCUAGAGGUGAAAUUCUUUGAUUAGUCGAGGACGAACCAUUGCGAAAGCAUCUGCCAAGGACAUUUCCUUUGA